ACAGCGGCCAUUGAGUCACUUUACAAAGGCAGUUGAAUAUGCUUUCAAGACUUUUGGUGAGAUGAGGAAUAAUGGAGUUAUUCCUUAGAAGGUAACAUUUUUUUUAUCAGCCUGAGGAGGGAGGUAACGCAUAAUCUGAAAGAAAUAUUAAUUUCAAUGAACAAGGGGAUUCCAUUCCUCAAGAAACUUGAAGUUGGAUUAGGAGAGUGAAAACUCCAUGAGAAUUGUCAUGACUAUAAAACAUAAAUCUAAUCAACCUGGCAAUGGUUAUGGUGGAUGCUGCAUUGCAUGUAUGCGGUGGCUGGCAAGAUGAUUGGGCUCAUGGCUCAAAGGGGUUGUGAUUCACGUUUGUUUC
rnacentral:lncRNA from 1 species